CUCCUACAUGGCUUUGAUGACAUAAAGAGUUUGUAGAGUGAAGACAGAAAUGGUGAAUGAAUAAACAAUUUGGGCUUGAAUGUAAUGACCAAAAGAAGUCCAGGAGAGUUUCAGGGAACCAACUUGCAGCUACAUCCACAAUUCCUCAACACUGGAACAACAUGCUUAUGACCUUUCCUUUUCACAGCAACAGUGACGUGUUUGGUUUGUAACAGUUUCUGAACCACUGAAGUACUUUUCAACUUUCUCCCUUGGAAAAGCUGGCAUCUUGCCUGAAAUCCUUGGUGUGGUCUAG
rnacentral:lncRNA from 1 species